UACAGAGGUCCCAAGCGUUGUUCGGAUUCACUGGGCGUAAAGGGUGCGCAGGUGGUCGGGUAAGUCUGAUGUGAAAUCCCGCAGCUUAACUGCGGAAUGGCAUUGGAUACUAUUUGGCUAGAGGGUUGGAGGGGGGACCGGAAUUCUCGGUGUAGCAGUGAAAUGCGUAGAUAUCGAGAGGAACACCAGUGGCGAAGGCGAGUCCCUGGACAACUCCUGACGCUGAGGCACGAAAGCUAGGGGAGCAAACAGG
rnacentral:rRNA from 1 species